rnacentral:lncRNA from 1 species
GAACACUUGUUAGCGUUUCCCUAUCAUAAAUUGCAAGUCAUUGUCAAUUAUAACGUCAUAUGGCCAUUACUAACAUACCAAAAUGUACAAAAAUAUAUAAACUAACAUUCAAAAGGUGCACCAAAAUAAUGCUGUCUAAAUGCACCAAAACAUCCAAAAGGUGCUAACCAAAAUACAUAUUAGAAUAAGUACCUUACUACAUUAUAAACGUUCAUAUAAAAUAAGCAUUGACAUAGUUCAUUUAGUUUAUCUUCUAAUCCUUUGGUUCGGCUUCCUCAACAUCAAACCCUUUUCCUCUUUUGAUCAUGUCAAAAUUCUCAUUCCAUUAUUUGACUAGACCUGUCACCAUGUCUCUGGAAACUUUCUCCAAUUCUUCUGGUGGUAGUGUUUGCAGUCCACUCGGUAUAACUUCAGCUUGGUGUCUUCAUGAGCUCCCAACCUUCUGGACAGUUUUUCCUUGAGCUUUUGAAAUAUUCCCUUGCCAAUAGACCAGCAAUCACACCAUUCAAUGUGUCAUCAAGAAGAAGUUGGAAGCGAGGAAGAAGAUGGAAGAGAAAUGGGUUUCUAAUUUGAAUUUUUCUUGAUUUGCCCGUUUUAAAUUUAGUCCAUCCGGUAAUUUUUGUUUUUGGAUUUGGUCGCUUAAACAGAGAGACCGGUCACAUGGAUAGACACAUCAACCAAUAUAACCACGUCACAGAUUGCCAAAUUAGCCUCCGUUAGCCACAUGUGUGUUUUUGUAACAGAUGGUGAUGCAAGGACCAAAGUCAAAAUUUUUAGAACUUACAAGGUUUCUUUCGCAACAAAAAAAUUGCAAGAGUGACCCCAUGUUUAGGGAAAUAUGUUCUUUUGACCCCCUAACAUAAGGGAAAUAUGAUCUUUUGACCCCUUAUCUUCUCAAAAUGUUGCGAUUAUGGUCAUUGUUUUGUGACAUGUGGCGUCUUCUCAGCAAUUUUAGAAUGAAGGGGGACAAAAUUGUCAUUUUUUUAAUUGAGAGUCAAAAUCAGAACAUUUUAAAACUUAAGGGACGAAAGCAAAAAGCAUGCGCUCUGAGUGAUGCUAAAUAUAAGAAGAUGCAAAUUCUAUUGUGAAUGAUUCUCUUAAAGCCUAGCCUAACUUAUUCCCACCCUUAAAUAGCAAUGAUAAAUAUUGUAUUUUUUGUUUUUCUGAGUAGAUUAUGAAUCCUCGAUGAUGAUAAGUGUCUUGAAACAUUUUGUAAAUUCAUGUUUCCGAUGUGAAUGAUACUAAAUAUAUAAAUUCUAUUGUGAAUGAUCCUCUUAAAGCCUAGCCGAACCUAUCCCCACCCUUAAAAUUUAGCAACAUUGUCAUUGCAUAAAACUCCCAAUAAGGCCAACCAAUUUAGUAUUGCUAACCAAAGCUUGUGAAAGUGACUCCCAACAUUGUCAUUCACAAUGACCAUUACUUUCACCGUAUGAAAACAUCACACGUUAAAACAAUUAUUGUGAAAGUGACUCAAAAUUAAAGAAAAUUAAGUUUUUUGAAUCUGUCAAAAUCGGGGCCCAAUGGUUCUGUCCAGGGCCCAAAUUUCGCCUGUUUUUUAAGACAUUUGAUUCAACAUUCUUUGGUGCCCGAAUUGUCGUAACAGCAUAAAAAUAAAACGUUUUUUUAUGGGCCAGAUUUGUUCCAAUUAUGAGGAAUACUUUUACUAUUUUUACUAUAGAUAUAGACUUUGUAUCAGAUGUAAACCUUGAGAUAGAGGGGGCUGAAACAAGGGUUUAGAAAUCAAACUAGGGUUUGUAUAGCGUUUGCUCUUGGCAACAAACACUAGGGUUGAAUUGAUUCACCUUGGGAAACAAUAUUAGGAUUGAGUCUCUUGGUCAUGGGAAGAGAUUGGGACUUUGGGUAGAAUUAGGUGGGAGAUUUAUUCUUUUAACUCAUUGAUAUGUCUUUUGUAAAGUACUCAUCAUUAUAAUGAAACGGGUGACUGCUCUCUCCCCCAGACUAGAUCAAUAUGAACCGAACUGAGUAAACAAAUUUCGUGUUCUCUCUUUCUUUUCUCUCGCUGUUUUCUACUUUUGGUUUGUGAUUAUAACUUCCAUACACUUUGUUUUGGUUGCUUGAAUAUCACUUGUUCCACACAUCAAAUUUAUUAUUGGUGUGAUUUUUCAUCGAAUUCACAACAACUAUCAUGAAAGAUAAUAACACACAUGUGUACCAAUACUUCCCUAGUUGGUUACAUAUU